UAGGAGGUACAGACUACAGGGGGCCGUGGCUUCCUCUUAACCGCGGCAGCUGGUGAUAAAUACUGUACUAUUAACAGUGAGGCCCGGCGUAAUUUCCUUAUUAGAGGGCUUCUUUACGUCUCUUCAUCCCAAACUGGGAAAUGAUGCUGUUGACUGGGGCAAAGAAUAACGGGAGAAAAACAGCUGGGUCCUAAAUAACAGAGGGAAACCAACUUUCAAUAAAGUAUUCAACAACUAAUCCACAAAGCAGAUAACUGAACUUGCUGGCCUGCUCUAUAGUGCUGUUGCUUAAAAAGUCAUCUGUGAAGAAAACCAGAGGGAGAAAUUUCACCUGCCAAAGUGGAUAAAGAGUGGCUCAGAAAUCAAAGAUGGGGAAAUAGAGGCCAGAAGUAGAAGAAAAUAGAAGAAACACACUUGGUGAAAUGAAAAUUAGACUCUGAAUAAAAACUGUGAGUAGUCAAGAAAUAGGAAGUUUCAAAAGGAGACAGUUAAUCUACUGGGAUAUAUCUGCUGAUGAUGGAGGGAGGAACUCUUUGUAGGAAUCUUAAAGAAUUCAAGGUUGGACAUAGAGGAAACUGGAGGAAAUGAAAUCCUGUCAAAUGCCUUAAAAUCUUCAGGACACAGGACACUUGCCUUUUCUCUAUAGAAAAGUUGGUUUCUUGGAAAGAAGGUGGCUGGAACGGCUAAGUAUCCCUUGGAUAAUUAUAGCUAUAAGUUAGUGUUACCCUCCCUCCCCAUUCCUCAUUCCCCAUACCCACACCUCCAGGCAGAAGUGACAAAACAGAGACUU